UACGAAGGUGGCAAGCGUUGUUCGGAUUUACUGGGCGUACAGGGCGCGUAGACGGUUGGAUAAGCCCUCCGUGAAAUCUCCAGGCUUAACCUGGAAAGUGCAGAGGGGACUGUUCAGCUAGAGGAUGGGAGAGGAGCGCGGAAUUCCCGGUGUAGCGGUGAAAUGCGUAGAGAUCGGCAGGAACACCCAGGGGGAAACCAGCCGGCUGGGGACGAGCUGACGCUCAGGGGCGAAAGCGUGGGGAGCGAACCGG
rnacentral:rRNA from 1 species